rnacentral:misc_RNA from 1 species
UGUGGGAGCGAGCCUGCUCGCGAUAGCGUCGGGUCAGCAACCUCAUGGUUGGCUGACACACCACAAUCGCGAGCAGGCUCGCUCCCACA